UGAAUUAAAAAGAAAUCUCGAGUACGGAUUCCGACAGCGUAACGGUAGGAAAUAAAAAUAUUAAACUAAGAGAAGAAAUCAAGAAUUAAAUCUUAGUCUCAAUUCUCUUCCUCAACUGUUACCAGUUGGUUCUGUGUCUAAAGUGUAAGAAAGGACGCAUAUUUAUACUAAAAUACAAGAGGGGGGAAAAGAAUUCUGGCCGAUGUGGGACUAAGUGUGGUGUGGCGAGAGCCACACGAUUUGAUUAAAAGGGAAUGGCCAUGAUCAAAAGCUGGCGGUUGCCAUUUGUCCCUAGCUGGCGAGCGGCAAGUGAUUUCCUUGUGGGCUUGCGUGUUUGUUUUGUGGGCUGCACAUGUGUGGCCCAAUUGGCUGCACAUGUGUGGCCCUUUUUGUCCAAUUUUGCUCCUUUUUAGUCCAUUUUCGCUCCUUUCUUCAACUCGUACACUUUUUAUCUGUUUAUUUAAAAUAUGAGAAAUAAGUAACUAUUUAUAUAGUAAAACUUCGGAAUCGAAAUAAAAACAUAUAAAAUAUAAUAGUAAAUUAACUAAAUAAAUAGC
rnacentral:lncRNA from 1 species